GGCAGCACGGGGGCAACCCUGGUGGCGAGUGGCGAACGGGUGAGUAAUACCUAGGAACAUGUCCAGUAGUGGGGGAUAACGCAGCGAAAGCUGUGCUAAUACCGCAUACGCCCUACGGGGGAAAGCGGGGGAUCUUCGGACCUCGCGUUAUUGGAGUGGCCUAGGCCUGAUUAGCUAGUUGGUGAGGUAAAGGCUCACCAAGGCGACGAUCCGUAGCUGGUCUGAGAGGAUGAUCAGCCACACUGGAACUGAGACACGGUCCAGACUCCUACGGGAGGCAGCAGUGGGGAAUAUUGGACAAUGGGCGAAAGCCUGAUCCAGCCAUGCCGCGUGUGUGAAGAAGGCCUUCGGGUUGUAAAGCACUUUAAGCGAGGAGGAAGGGCUCUAGGUUAAUACCUUGGAGCAUUGACGUUACUCGCAGAAUAAGCACCGGCUAACUCUGUGCCAGCAGCCGCGGUAAUACAGAGGGUGCAAGCGUUAAUCGGAAUUACUGGGCGUAAAGCGCGCGUAGGUGGUUCGUUAAGUUGGAUGUGAAAUCCCCGGGCUCAACCUGGGAACUGCAUUCAAAACUGACGAGCUAGAGUAUGGUAGAGGGUGGUGGAAUUUCCUGUGUAGCGGUGAAAUGCGUAGAUAUAGGAAGGAACACCAGUGGCGAAGGCGACCACCUGGACUGAUACUGACACUGAGGUGCGAAAGCGUGGGGA
rnacentral:rRNA from 1 species